UAAUUAAUGUGUCAUCAAGGUCUCUGGCUAAUAUAUGAGGAGAAUUUUGAGAACUUGCCCAGUAAUAUCACUUCUCAGCUGUACCCUGAUACUCCCACAAGCUGCAUGCACUCAUUUCUCUGUUUAACUUGCAGCCUCUGUUACUUGUGAUUACAUCAUCUGGCCAAACCCCAAAGUCCCUUCGUUUCUAACUAUUGCUUCCCCAAUCAACUCUUUAGGAAUUUUUUUUUUUAACAAUUGAAAUAUUCUCUGAACUCAUUUGUCCUGCAAGCUUACGCUGGUGCCACUGUCUGAGCAAUCUCUGCCUGUUAGCUGCAGAGCUCUCCAAGGGGCAGAUGCCCUGUUGUAUUGAAUUGUGGUUGAGUUGGAUGGACAUGUCUCAAAUCUAAUUGUGAUUGUUGGGCCAGUUCAGCUUUGCACAUGUGUGCCAGAUGUAUCCAUCAAAACUCUCAACUGUACUUCUGGUGGCUUGUGUCUUAAGAGGCCAAUUUCUGCCAUUUAUAUUAAAACUACAGCAUGAUCUCCUGUUCAUCCACUACCAGUGGAUGUUAAAAAGAGGAAACUCACGAGUAUGGAGCAACUUGAGUAUCAGGCACCACCGAAUACACUUUUCUUUGUAAUCCUCACGACUGCUGUAUGGGGGCAGGGCAAUGAUGACCAUGUGUAUGGGGCCUGCAGGAUGGUGUAAAAGUUGGGAGUGAGCACAGACUCAAAAUGGACCUCAGCACCCUUAUGUUCCAGCCUUGUGAUCAAGAGCAGGUGACUUAGCCCCUUAGAUUGCAGUUUUGUUAUCUGGGAAAUCCAUCUUGAAUAGCACUUGUAUUAUAAAGUCCCUGAUAGGACUAAAUAAAACGAUCUGUAUGAAGUACUUAGAAGAGCACCUGCCACACAGCAAUAUGUGCAUAAUGCUUACUAGCCAGACACCUGUUCUGAGCAUUUUACGUGGACCAAUUUAGUCCUCAAAACAACUCCAUGAUAUAGUCACUAUUAGCAUGCCCAUUUACAGAAGAGAAAACUGAGGCAUAGAGGUUAAAUAACUUGCCUGAGAUCACACAGUCACCACGUGGUAGAGUCAGGAUGCAAACCCAGGCAGCUGAGCACCUAAGUUCUCUUUUCAACUAUGACAUCACACUGCCACCAUAACCUGUCAGAAACCUUUAACAACUAUUAGCUACUUUAUUAUGAUGGUUAUGAAAAACAGAGGUUUCAGUGACUUCCCCAGGAUUUCACAGCUGUAAAUGACAGAGCUCCUGCAGUGUGAGCCCAGACUGUGUGCCUGAGGACAUUUAGACAACUGUCUGCCCACUUCAGGGCUGAAAACAGGAAGAUGUUGGGAAUAUAAACCCAUCCGGAAGGACCCAGAAGGACUCUGCUAGCUCAGCAUAGACAUACAAGUUUGCCUCCAGCUCCAGAACAUUAAGUGGAUAUUUUUUCACCUUCUCUUCCUUGGUUCCUGCUACGACUAUGGAAUUUGGGCCUUGGAUGCAAGAGAGUUGAGAUGAAAUUGGAUGGGACCAUUGAGUCUAAAAUAACGAGGAGGAUGAAAGCAGUGAGAGUGACGGCAGAAACAACGAGAAGGAUCCCACUCAAAAUGCCUGCAAGAGGCACCAACCACACUGUCUUGGACUCAAGCACCGAAAGCAUCAGGGAAACUGAGUCCUGAAGGGGAAAGAACUUGCCAGAGGUCACACCAAGAGUCAAAGAGAGCAGGAUUGGUCCUCAGGGCUGCUAAAUCCCAGGGCAGAAAUGAACUCACCAGGGAGGCUCUGACUGAGGGCUGAUGUCACCCCAGAGGGCCGCUCCAUCUCAGGUCUCAGAGAGGGCCAGGCCUCUGGCAAGGUCUCUUGACUCCCAGCACAGUGCUCCCUCUACUGCCCUAAGCAGCCCGUGGUUCCUGGCCUUGAGCUACCCGUGUUAUGGAGGAGACAAGGAAAGAAAGUGCCUCCUCUGUCUCCAGAAGGAAGCUUCAGGUCUCUCUCUGAAGCAGAAGCCUAGAAUCCCAUGCAAGAAGGCGGAGAUUAGCGUGGGCUUGCGGAGUCCUGAAAAAUCUGUGCGAGAGGGUCACAGGUGUGGACGGAUGCAGGUGUUUCACCUGGAGUGGAGAGGGAAGUGGAAACCGGGAAUAGCAAUUGAAUUCUGGAGAUGGUGUGAGAACCAAGGAGAAGAUCGGCAUGAAAAAGAAAAAAAAUGCAUCAGUUAAUGGCAGGAACUGGCUGACUGGGGAGCCAGGAGCCGGAGCCCCGGAAGGAUGGGAAGAAGGCGAGUGAAGGAGGAAUGUCACAAGGAGAAAUUGUCCACUUAGACCAGUAAAGCCUUUCAUGUUCAUCUUUGUCAUUUUGUUUAGAUCAUUUUGGACAGAACUGUCCUUACAGGAAUGAAACCUGGAUAUUUACUGAGCUCCUACCAUACCAGAGUCAUGAUGCUCAGUGUUCUUCUCAAUUACUUUUUUUUUUUUUUAAAGAUUUUAUUUAUUUAUUCACGAGAGACACAGAGGGAGAAGUAGGAUCCAUGCAAGGAGCCCGACGUGGGCCUCGAUCCUGGGACUCCAGGACCACACCCUGGGCUGAGGGCGGCGCUAAACCGCUGAGCCACCCGGGCUGCCCUCCGUUACUUAAUGUAACCCUCCAAACAACCCAACAGGCCUGUGGCACCAUCAUUCUGAGUUACUGACGAGGACCCAGGCCUGGAGCAUUUAAGAAUUUGCCCAGAGUCAGCCUAGCUGUGAGGCGGAUGGGGCGGGAGGAGAGCUUCGGCCAGGAGUCUUUGACAAUAGUGUUUAUCCAUCCACACGUGGACCGCAUGGAGGCCCCCGCCUCAUCCACUCAGAGGUUCCCCGCGUCCCCUCAGGGCCUCCCCGGCCCAUCCGCCACGCGGGCGCGCUCUAACCCGGUUAGGGCCUCUCAGCUUGAACUCGGUUUGACCCGCAUUCUGAGGCUUCAGCAGGGAUAGAAGGAUACUUGCUGGCCCCAGGGCGGGAGAUGGGGCUUGAUUUCCAGCCUUGACAUUGAGCAGAUGGGAGACGUUGGGCACGUCUCUCACCGCCUCUGUGGUUGUGGUUCAGUUUCCGCACCUGCAGCCCAGGAUAAAAUGAAUAAAAACUCACGAAAUAGAACUGCUUUGGUUUUCCGGGCAUUUGGCUCCAUCUUCUGGUCGGUUCUUAUCACUGCGGUUUCUUGCAGUGUUCCUAUCCACUGCGGACAGCGGGUAGUUUUGAGGCUUCUU